rnacentral:lncRNA from 1 species
AACUUUCAACUCGAGUCAAAAGCUCGAUUUUUUUUUCUUUUUUUUAAACAUAGGCAGCAGCGUGCUGCCUUAUUUCAGUAAAUAAGGCAGCAACCUUAUUUGAGGCAGCAGGUUGUUGCCUUUAAUUAAUUUUUAUUAUUAUUAUAUAUAAAGGCCGAUUCGGGCUUUUUCCAGGCCGAACCACAUGUAGUUCGAGCCAGCGAGCUCCAUUGCCAUCCCUACAAUGUAGUUGCUGAAUAAUAGUUCUCCCAUAUACUUGGAGACUCUUUCACCUAGGAAAAUUAAAAAAUAUAAAUUAAAUUGCUACCGAAACAAUAAGAUGACAAAAUGGUAGAAAAAAAUGAUUAAUUUAUUGAAUAAUUGCAUCACAGAAGAUAAGAGUUAUGGCAUCUUUUUUGCACAAAUAUGGAGCAUUCUGCAUCAGGUGUAGAGCGUAGGGCAAAAUAAUAAUGGUUUAAAUUUGGAAAGCAAAUUGACUACAUAAAUAAAUCACGUGAAAGCUAUCGAUACCUCGCAUAUUUCCUAUUUUCAUCUUCUCACAUUCAUUAAGACAAGCAUAUGAAAUAAUAUUCGGUCAAAGUUCCUCUAUGUUUAAGACGACGUCAUUUGAAUGAACAUAUAUCUACUAUAUUUAUGUACCUUAAUAACCUUGCUUUUAAUUAUCACAAACUUUAAAAAUUUCCAAACCACCAACAAAUGAACUGUGCUUGUGAUGUAAUGAACAACAUAGCACGAUUAUACCUUGUAAAUUAGUAAUUGUACUGAAAAUUAAACUUAUAUCUAACCAAAGAUGAGAACAUAGAAAAGUCAAUGCAGAUGAUGAAUGCAAGAGAGUUAUGUUCAAUGGUACUUCAGGAAAUAUUGGGAAAAUUGCAUAAGGCAAGCAGCAUACUUGAGUGCGCCAGAUAUGCUUGUCCAUUUCAAUUUAUAAUAAAUCAUUUGCCAGGAAAUUCUCACAAAUCCAUUUAAAGUUUUGAAAUAUACCAAUAAUGAGGAUGUCAACAAUAAGUCCAAAAGAUGGAAGUUCAAAACUUAGUAACCAGAAAACCAUCACUACCUUGUUCGAAACCAUUAACAUUGGGAUUGAUGUAACGUUAAGUUCUUAAAGAACUUUGUCCACACCCUCAAUCUGUUGUUCUGCCAGCAAAUGGCAGAAUGACAUAGAAAUAUACUAUAAUAAGUUGAAACGGGAUUGUUAUUCCAUACAUCCAUUGCAAAUGACAUAUCAAUUUGCCCAGCAAAUCAAACCACCAGACAACAAGACACAACUCAAAUAGAACAUAUCCAUAAGUUUUGAAUUGUUUCAGUCAACUCCACAGCCUCCCUUCUACUUCAUUAUCAAGCAAAUAGCAUGGAGACCCCAUACACUUGUAAUGUCACUUGGAAGCAGUAGCAACCAGGCAAAUGGCAGUGUCCCCAAAAUUGUAACCCAAGACCUCAGCGUUAUGAGAUAGUUAAGUAGAAUCCUGGUACCAAUUAUCCCUAAUUUUAGAUUAUAGCUGAUUAGCUGGUGACUAUCAUGAGCACUAGAAUGAUAUGGACUCCAAGGCAUAUCCUUCUAUAGGAAAUUUACAUUACAUAUUUCUUUCUUAUUUGAAGGAGUUCCAACAAAAAAUUUCUAUACGGAUUCGAUAUGUACUAUAAUACACCUAGAUCAGGUCACGUUCUGUCUUUUAAAUCAUAAUAGAAAGACAAUUAAAAAAAUUUCCAUAAAAGCAAAUAUAUCAUUUUUCUACAAUCUUCAGUUUCCUUUCUUCAAUUUUUAGUUUAUUGCAAGAAGUAAUCUCAUUAAAUAUAUAACUUUACAAGGCUCUUAGAGCAUAUACAAGAGACUAUUUAUAAAGAGCAUCUUAUUUAUAAUAAUAAUAAUAAUAAUAAUAAUAAUAAUAAUAAUAAUAAUAAUAAUUUAGAUAUCAAUGAUCAAUCAAUUCAAAUAAGAUUAAAAUAAUUUAAGAAGUGGAGUAUUGAAAUCUGUAACUAAUUAAAUGCAAUAUUUAUAAAGUAAGAAUAGAGAGUGGGUUAGGCUUUUCAAAUUUGGAGUCAAAUUCACUCUCUACUUUAAAAAGUUAAAAUGGAGUCUUGUGAAACUUAUUUUAAAGCAAUGACUCUAUAAAAUAAAGAGUAUCUUAUAUUUAGAAUAUCUAGGAGAUGCUUAGAUGGCC